CUGUGGAAACAAAGAGCUCAGAAAAUUUGGAAAGCUCAUAGUUCAUCACUCCCUGGGGAUGGGAAAAACACUCUUGAAAUGUAGGGCACUCUGAUUUUGCCAUGUUGUACUGUAUCCCUGGGUCCUCUCAGUUUUGGGCCAUGACAUACGGUUGGAAGCUGGCUCCAAAUAUCCCAUGUAAUCCACUGGAAUCAGGACAGAUAACUCAGAGCAUGGACCUUGUUACACAACUAAUGACAAGAUGGAACUAUUCAUUUUAAUAUAAUUGCCUUGGCCCCUUCCUUCCUGAAGAUAAGGU